GACGAACGCUGGCGGCGUGCUUAACACAUGCAAGUCGAACGGAAAGGCCCCCAUCUUGGUGGGGGUGCUCGAGUGGCGAACGGGUGAGUAACACGUGGGUGAUCUACCCUGUACUUCGGGAUAAGCUUGGGAAACUGGGUCUAAUACCGGAUAGGACCAUGGUUUAGUGUCUCAUGGUGGAAAGAUUAUUGUUUUGGUGCAGGAUGAGCUCGCGGCCUAUCAGCUUGUUGGUGGGGUAAUGGCCUACCAAGGCGUCGACGGGUAGCCGGCCUGAGAGGGUGGACGGCCACAUUGGGACUGAGAUACGGCCCAGACUCCUACGGGAGGCAGCAGUGGGGAAUAUUGCACAAUGGGCGCAAGCCUGAUGCAGCGACGCCGCGUGGGGGAUGACGGCCUUCGGGUUGUAAACUCCUUUCGUUAGGGACGAAGCCGCACUUUUUUUGGGUGUGGUGACGGUACCUUUGUUAAGAAGCACCGGCUAACUACGUG
rnacentral:rRNA from 1 species